CCCUUAGAUGUCCUGGGCCGCACGCGCGCUACACUGAGUGUCUGAGAUACGAGUCUGCCUGGUCCGGCAAGGUCUAGGUAAUCGCUAAAAGACACAUCAUGCUUGGGAUAGAUUAUUGCAAAUAUUAAUCUUGAACGAGGAAUUCCUAGUAAGCGCAAGUCAACAGCUUGCGUGGAUUACGUCCCUGCCCUUUGUACACACCGCCCGUCGCUACUACUGAUUGGAUGUUUAAGCGAGGUUCUCGAACUGCUAGCGACUUAGCUUCGGUGAGGUCGCAGUGUGGGAAGUGAACCUAGCUUUGGUGUCUAGAGGAAGUAAAAGUCGUAACA
rnacentral:rRNA from 1 species